UUUUUUUGUCUCUUUCUUUCGCGCGUGCUCUCUCCCUCUCUCUCUUGAGCAUGGAGCGAAAGUUGCAUGGAGACACACAGCGUAAGACGCGUGUAGUGGAGAGAAUGGUGGGAGAGCAAGAGAUAAAAGAGAAGGAAACGGCAACAAACUCAUACCAAGCGAGAUCAAAACAGAUUUUCCACCGAGUUGUUUUAGGCAAAGGAAAAAGGGCAUCUUGGCAAUAUUGUAACCAAAAAACACUGCAUCGAUGCAACAGAGCCGACUCGGAGACCUUGCACGGAGUUGGAGAGGCAGAAAUUAAUGUACAUUGCAUGCACUCCACGUAACGCUCCGGAGUGAUGCCUUUGUGAGUGUUUUUUUUUCGUACUGCGAGCUAAAAAUAGCAGCAGUGUUUGAUCGCGCUCCAGAAAUAGGCAGUGGGGUAACACAAGUAUAAAAAGGACUGCAAUUCUGAGAAACCUUGGACAUUGCUGAGCAAGGGCUCGCUGCAUAGCUUCAUGGAAAUUAAAACGCCAUCUCUCUCUCGAGCAGGAAUCUCACGUAUCGUAAAUAUGACAACCACAAAAGCAAGACCAAACUCAUUUGUCUGACGGCGCUGUUGAGCCAUUUUACGUUUUCUGUCUUCGCUACAACUGAAAGUCCCCGAAUGGAAAUCCCUACCAUCAGAUGAACACCGGCUGAUGUUGGUUUAAUAAAUAAAGAGGACACUAGAUGAAAGCAUGCAUGGGAAAGGAGUGCCUUGGGGUGCUAAAGGAGCUGUGCACCGGAGCAGACAAGAGGGAAACACACAGGCUGCACAGUUGUGCUGAAAACACAAUGUGGCGUCAAGGGGAGCCUGGGCUACUGCUUGACCUGCGUCAAAAUAACUCUCAAAUAGGCAUAGCUUUUUUCUAUACCGCCCGCAGAUGGACGCAGCAGCGCAAGUAGUCUACUUCUCAGAGCCAUUCGAAAUGCAUCCUUAAGUUUCGUACUCAUAACUCCGCAUGACAGUUUUCCCGCCUGCUUUGUUCGUACAAUUCAGUGUGCAGUUAGAAGCUAAAGAUAAUAUGGCAAUAGGCGGGCUGACUUGGAUUACUCUUCCGCCCACGUCAUUUCAUUAUACAGCGCUGCAACACACUGGGUUUUUUUGUUGCUAUGAACUGAAAUACUGUUCACCUGCUGGCAAAUAUGCAUUCACUUUGUAUUUAUCAGUGUUAUCUACAGAGCAUAACAAGCAAUCACAAAAUUUCGUUUGCCUGUACUCUUGACAGAUUAAUAACUCCAAACCUGCAGCACACAGAUGUCUCCGAAAUUUGGCAGAAAUCUGUCGAAGUGCAUGCUGUAGAGUAAGAAUACUUGCGCGUAAGAAACAACAGUUGGUAGGCGCAGCUAUCACGGUACGUCGUGCCAAAGAGCACUGUUACACUGUAACGAUGUAUCUCGUAAGAGUCGGCGUGAAUGUCAUUUUUAUACGAGUGUUUUCUAUCCGAAUAUCCGUUGUUCUAUUAAUCUUUAUCCAAUACCUACAAAGAUACAUCAUCCACAUAAAACAGACACUGAAAUUUGCAAAAUAGUGCUACCAGGCAUGUAAAAUAGUAUUCAGCAAGCUUACAUGGGAAACGAAAAAACGUUGUUGAUAACCUUGACCUUAAGACUAAGCUUUUCUUUAUUAAGUAGUCAAGACAUGCAAAGAUCUUCUUAAAUAAUGCAAUGUGGAUGUGUAAUUUUGGUGGCAAAACAGAUUUCUUGGAGUCGUGACUGCUUUAGUGAGUAAUAUGGGCGCGUUGGCUGCGUCAGGAGAUGCAGUCGCUGUGCGCUGCAGACGGAAGGAGGAGAAUCGUGACUGAAUGCUGAAGACGUCCGGAAACGAAACGACAACCCAAUAAAAUCCUCUUAAUGGCAUCUGGGCAAGAUAUUUACACAUGUUAUCUCUAUAGCCUUUUACUCUUUGCGUCGAGCCACCUCAACCCUCAACCUCCCUUUGCACCACCGAAGACAUGAGAAGAAUAUCUGUGAUUAAGGGGUGGGAGGGAGGAUCUUGGUUUGGGAUGAAUUCCGACUGGUGUGUGUGUGGAGAGAGAGAGAGAGAGAAAGAGAGAGAGAGAGAGAGAGAGAGAGAGAGAGAGAGAGAGAGAGAGAGAGAGAGUAUACCAUGCGGGGAGGGGGGUCCAGAUAUAGAUCGUGACCCUCCCACCUAGUACAGUUUCUUGCAUUUAGUUCCAAAAAGGGAUUGCCAGAGACUUUGUGGUGCAUUUUGACAAAUGAUUACUAUGUGGAUAUAAGAACAGGAAAUUCUCUGGUCUUAGUUGUUGUCAUCAUAUAAGUUGUAUUUUGGAAGGGUACAGAGAAGUUCUACACUAAGGUCCUCACGCUGGCUUAUUCAAGUCGUCUCUUCUCUGUGCUUUCAAGUGUUUUAGUGUGACAAAGGAAGAGAAGAAGCUAAAACACUUAUAGUAUACAGUAGCUAUACUAUAGCGUAUGAGUCGUAGAAAUCACGACGAACACAGUGAAAUGAAAAGUCAUAAUCCGUGAUCAGAUGAAGCGCAGAACUUUGUCACUGCUUUCUAUAUCUUUGUUGAAGAUAAGGAUUUCAUACUCGAUGACGUAUACAACCUUUAUAUAUGUAAUGUACAGUAGUCAGCAGACAUGUACGUUCUAAUGUACGUUCAGCAGUCAUGUACUCAGUAAUGGUUCACAAAAACUUUAAGAAGUUUCAACAGACGUCUCAGCCUCUCCAUCGUGCUUCCUCAUUCACACUGUUCACCUCGGCCUCUAUGGUGAAACCUGGUCUGUAGAUCCACAGAGCCAUCCGAGGUACCAUCUCCAACAUGUGGCUUCCAUCAUCUGUAAAUGAGAGCAAGACAGAUGAAGGGAAGAUAUGGACACGUGCUGAGCUCCAGAAUGAAGUGGAGUGGAAUCAGUCAACACAGGAAGCAAUUUAAGAAAAUCCAUAAGAAGUUGGAUCUGCCUUGUGCAGUCUGUUUAUCUCAGUUCCAUAUGUCAAGAGGCCAUUUCUUCAGCUUAAUCAAAGAACAACAUGACAUCUGAGUUUUAACAGAUAUUUACACUUCUGUUCCUAAAAGCUCUGGCCAUGCUGAACAAAAUCCAGUGGUUGUGUUUUUGCAGAAACCUAAAAUGAGGAUAUAUGCAGAUGACCGUCUUGAACACGUGCAAAUGGAUAUGGAUAACUGUCUUGAACACGUGCAAAUGGAUAUGGAUAACUGUCUUGAACACGUGCAUAUGGAUAUGGAUAACUGUCUUGAACACGUGCAUAUGGAUAUGGAUAACUGUUUUGAACACGUGCAUAUGGAUAUGGAUAACUGCGCUGAAAUUCACAUAGGAUUAUUCUAUACACGUCGAAUGAAGCUGGUUAAUUAAGGACAACUUUGACCCCCUUAAGGUAUUUGCGUCUCUGUCUCUAUAGGACUUGCUUUAGGAGCAGUUUGUAGACAUUGAGAACGUUGCCAUUUCCCGUCGUUUCUUGAUACACAUUAUACGUGCGAAAAUGUAUAAAAUAUAUGAAAAAAAGGCAACAAAAAAAGUAAUGAAAAACAGAAUAAAAAAUGUGUUCAAUUAAAUUCUGAAGGAUGGAGUUAAAGAUUUGACCCUCGGAGUUUGGCUUGUUAGAGCACGUUUGUCUGUACAGGGACAAGGGGGGAUACUGGAAGGUCUCACACGUUGUUCUACACAAUAUUGUUGGUGAAAACGUGUAAAUAAUUGUGGUAUCUUUUUCUCUUUAAAAAAAGAUGUAAUGUCUGCAAAUGUGUUUUGUAAGAGUUGAAUACGUGGCUUUUCGUAUGAAAACGUAUAGUCUAGUAGUCACGUGUUUUGUUUCUGAGAUAUUGAGGCGCAGCAAAACAAAUAUUAGGUUGAAACUCACACAGUGUUUUGUAGGGUUACACGUCCAAGAUCAAAUACAAGACGUGGUGUAAGAAUAUUACUGAGAGACACGUAGACAAUUAAAAAUGUUAUGCACAAAGCAGUCAGAAGCAGUAGAAAAAUGAGAGCUGUGAAAACAUCAAUAUUGCAGGUGAGGUGAGAAAGAUUCAGGGCGAGUAUGUAUAUGUGCAUGUCUCUUUCUUAAAAUACUGAAUAUCAGUGAUUUUAUUUAACAUAAAAAUAAACAAGCGGCAACCUAGAAAAAGGCCACGUCUGUAUGGACAAGUCUGUGUGUCUGGACAAGUCUGUGUGUCUGAACACACACUGGUCCAUGAUGUGAUCCGAAACAGCUGCAGUAUCAGUGUUUCUUUCAAUAUCAUAUAUAUAUAUAUAUAUAU